rnacentral:rRNA from 1 species
AUUGAACGCUGGCGGCAUGCCUUACACAUGCAAGUCGAACGGCAGCACGGGUGCUUGCACCUGGUGGCGAGUGGCGAACGGGUGAGUAAUACAUCGGAACAUGUCCUGUAGUGGGGGAUAGCCCGGCGAAAGCCGGAUUAAUACCGCAUACGAUCUACGGAUGAAAGCGGGGGACCUUCGGGCCUCGCGCUAUAGAGUUGGCCGAUGGCUGAUUAGCUAGUUGGUGGGGUAAAGGCCUACCAAGGCGACGAUCAGUAGCUGGUCUGAGAGGACGACCAGCCACACUGGGACUGAGACACGGCCCAGACUCCUACGGGAGGCAGCAGUGGGGAAUUUUGGACAAUGGGCGAAAGCCUGAUCCAGCAAUGCCGCGUGUGUGAAGAAGGCCUUCGGGUUGUAAAGCACUUUUGUCCGGAAAGAAAUCCUUGGCCCUAAUACGGUCGGGGGAUGACGGUACCGGAAGAAUAAGCACCGGCUAACUACGUG